GCCAUCCCCUGGCUGGGAGUUGCAGGCAGAGGAAUUCACACUAGGAGGGAGGUGCACCUGUCUGGCAGGGAGGGGAAUUAGCUGCUGGCACAACUCCCUGAGGGCUGCGGUGGAUUCUCCAUCCCGAGCUGUGCGUGAAGCUGGACGGGAGAUCCCCGACCCCAGAGCCGAGAUGGAGCUGGUCAGGAGGCUGCAGCACGUCAAGAAGCCAGUGCCCCUGAGCAGCAGCUCGGUGUCGGUGUUGCUCCGAGGCUUCGUGGCUGACGUGAGCUGCGAGCUGCUCUACAGGAACGAGGAGCCGGGGCCCGUGGAGGUCGUGUUCAAGUUCCCCGUGGACGCUGAGGCAGCUGUCUACGCCUUCCGGGCCUGUCUGGGUGGGGGCCUGCAUCCAGGCCCAGCUCCACGAGAAGAAACAGGUGCUUGGGGGCAGUGGUCCCGUGGGGGAGAGAAGAGAGGGCCGGGCUGGGGGGAUCUUGGGGUGACCCCGUCUCUCCCGGCAGGCGCAGGAGCAGUACAAGGAUGCACUGAGUGCGGGGCAGAGGGAUGUCAGGGGACGGGGGGAUCUCGGGCUGAUCCCGUCUCUCCCGGCAGGCAC